AUGGUAUUUUCUCUGUUCUCUCUGCUCCUGAGUCCUUCAGCACAGUCACUGCUUAUACAUAGAAUCAUGCUUCAGUGGGACUCUGUAUGUGCUUCAGUGGGAUUCUGUAGGAUGCUGAUACAACACAGAAAUGAAUUUCUUUUUUGCAAGAAAUCAUCAUUAUUUAUUGAAUUGGAAAGCUAGCGAACCGAUGUUCCCCUGGGUGCUGUGAAUACCAUGAAGCUGAGGCCUGGUGUAAUGAAGUCACUUGCCUAAGGUAGCAUGAGAAGUAUGAAAUAAGGAUGUGAAGAAGUUCCAUGACAGGACUCCAAGCAUAAGACCAUCUUUCCUCCUUGUAAGUAGGGACUAUCAGUAGAAAUGUAUCUGUUCAGUUGAAUUUUCUUUCUUUCUUUCUUUCUUU
rnacentral:lncRNA from 1 species